rnacentral:pre_miRNA from 1 species
ACAACAUUCGGACCGUCGGUCUACCGAGCAAACUCACCCGCUCGGUGGAAGAUCUUCCCUUCCGUCAU